rnacentral:rRNA from 1 species
ACUCUCGGCAACGGAUAUCUAGGCUCUCGCAUCGAUGAAGAACGUAGCAAAAUGCGAUACUUGGUGUGAAUUGCAGAAUCCCGUGAACCAUCGAGUUUUUGAACGCAAGUUGCGCCCGAAGCCAUUAGGCUGAGGGCACGUCUGCUUGGGAGUCUCA